AUUGAACGCUGGCGGCAGGCCUAACACAUGCAAGUCGAGCGAGCGGCGGACGUGUGAGUAAUGUAUGGGGACUGCCCGAUAGCGGGGGAUAACUACUGGAAACGGUUGCUAAUACCGCAUACUAUCGGAUAACCCAUAUGGGAUUAGCUAGUUGGUGGGGUAAAGGCGCACCUAGGCGACGAUCUCUACCUGGUCUGAGAGGAUGAUCAGCCACACUGGGACUGAGAAACGGCCCAGACUCCUACGGAGGCAGCAGUGGGGAAUAUUGGACAAUGGGCGCAAGCCUGAUGCAGCCAUGACGCGUGUAUGAAGAAGGACUUAGGGUUGUAAAGUACUUUCAGCGGGGAGGCGUUACCAGCAGAAGAAGCACCGGCUAACUCCGUGCCAGCAGCCGCGGUAAUUC
rnacentral:rRNA from 1 species